UACGAAGGGUGCAAACGUUGCUCGGAAUUAUUGGGCGUAAAGCGCACGUAGGCGGCUUAGCAAGUCCCAUGUGAAAGCCCACGGCUCAACCGUGGAAGUGCAUGGGAAACUGCUGAGCUUGAGUACUUAAGAGGAUCGCGGAAUUCCCGGUGUAGAGGUGAAAUUCGUAGAUAUCGGGAGGAACACCAGUGGCGAAGGCGGCGACCUGGGUAGAUACUGACGCUGAGGUGCGAAAGCGUGGGGAGCAAACAGG
rnacentral:rRNA from 1 species